AAUGAACGUUGGCGGCAUGGAUUAGGCAUGCAAGUCGAGCGCGAAGAGUCAUUUGCUUGCAUUUGACUCUGAAAGCGGCGUAAGGGUGAGUAACGCGUAGUUACCUACCUCCGGGUCCGGAAUAGCUGCGGGAAACCGCAGGUAAUGCCGGAUAACAUCUCAGGAUCAAAGGUGAGAUUCCGCCCGGAGAGGGGACUGCGUCCUACUAGCUUGUUGGUGGGGUAAUGGCCUACCAAGGCUUCGAUGGGUAGCGGGCGUGAGAGCGUGGCCCGUCACACUGGGACUGAGACACUGCCCAGACACCUACGGGUGGCUGCAGUCGAGAAUCUUCGGCAAUGGGCGAAAGCCUGACCGAGCAAUGCCGCGUGCGGGAUGAAGGCCCUCGGGUUGUAAACCGCGAAAGUAAGGAGGAAGGACCUGCGAAGAGCAGGUUUUGACCGAUCUACAGUAAGGACGGGCUAAGUUCGUGCCAGCAGCCGCUGUAACAC
rnacentral:rRNA from 1 species